rnacentral:misc_RNA from 1 species
UUUCCGUAGGUGAACCUGCGGAAGGAUCAUUAAUAAAUUUUUUUUUUGAAAUAAAAAAAAAUAAUAAUCAUCCUACCCUUUGUGAAUUUGUUUUGUUGAAUAAUUUUUAAAAUUAUUUAUUGUCUAUCCAAGUUGGAAAGUUGUAAAAGACUGAAGACUUGGAGCGGCAUAAAUAAAUUUAAAGACUUUUUUCUAAAAUUAAACUUUUUGUAUUCAUUUGUCUAAAAUAAUUUUUAUAAUAUAUAAAAACAACUUUUGACAAUGGAUCUCUUGGUUCUCGCAACGAUGAAGAACGCAGCAAAAUGCGAUAAGUAAUGUGAAUUGCAGAAUACGUGAAUCAUCGAAUCUUCGAACGCAUAUUGCACUUUUUUAGUUUACUAAAAAAGUAUGUCUGUUUGAGUAUCAGUAAAAUAUUCUCAUAAAUUUUUUAAUUUUAUGGUUAUGAGUGUUUUACAACGAUAAACAAGUUGUUUCACUUUAAAUUGAAUUUUUUGAAGAAAUUCUUUAAUUCAAAUUAAAUUUGGAUAAAAUUUUCCCGUAAAAAGGAAUAACUAUACAAGUUUAAUAGAAUUUAGUGAUUUCUUUUAUGAAAAGGAAAUUUAUUAAAUAACUUGAUCUCAAAUCAGAUAAGAGUACCCGCUGACUCAAGCAUAUCAAUAAGCGGAGGAAAAGAGACUAACAAGGAUUCCCCUAGUAACGGCGAGUGAAGCGGGAAGAGCUCAAAUUUGAAAUCUUAAAGGGUUUCCCUUUACGAAUUGUAGUUUAAAGAAGUGUUUUCUGUUGAGGUUUUGGUAAAAGUUCUUUGGAAUAGGACAUCAUAGAGGGUGAGAAUCCCGUAUUUGACCUUUACUUUCAACUUUGUGAUACACUUUCAAAGAGUCGGAUUGUUUGGGAAUGCAGUCCAAAAUGGGUGGUAAAUUUCAUCUAAAGCUAAAUAUUGGCGAGAGACCGAUAGCGAACAAGUACCGUGAGGGAAAGAUGAAAAGAACUUUGAAAAGAGAGUUAAACAGUACGUGAAAUUGUCAAAAGGGAAGCGUUUGACACCAGUGUUGUUUUUCUGAAAAUCAAUUAAAGAACUGUUUAUGCUAAGUUGUUUAGACUUUAUCAGCUAACUGUUUAGUUUUGAGCUUUCUUUAAUGCACUUUUCAGUUAACAAGUCAACAUCAAUUUCUUUUGCUGUAAAAAGCUUGAGGAAGGUGGCUUGAGAUUCGUCUUAAGUGUUUAUAGCCUCUUGCCUAUGCAGUCGGAGAGAUUGAGGUCUGCAGCGUAGAUCCUUCGGGGCUAAAUGCAUUUGUGCUAAGUUAUAGCAUUUUAUAGACAACUUGUUGACUAUGAUUUGUCUUGUAGCUUACUCGCUUAUGUUAUUUUACCUACGCUUAGGAUGUUG